rnacentral:rRNA from 1 species
CAGCCGCCGCGGUAAUACGUAGGUGGCAAGCGUUGUCCGGAAUUAUUGGGCGUAAAGCGCGCGCAGGCGGUCCUUUAAGUCUGAUGUGAAAUCUUGCGGCUCAACCGCAAGCGGUCAUUGGAAACUGGGGUACUUGAGUGCAGGAGAGGAAAGCGGAAUUCCAUGUGUAGCGGUGAAAUGCGUAGAGAUAUGGAGGAACACCAGUGGCGAAGGCGGCUUUCUGGCCUGUAACUGACGCUGAGGCGCGAAAGCGUGGGGAGCAAACAGGAUUAGAUACCCUGGUAGUCCACGCCGUAAACGAUGAGUGCUAAGUGUUGGAGGGUUUCCACCCUUCAGUGCUGCAGCAAACGCAUUAAGCACUCCGCCUGGGGAGUACGGUCGCAAGGUUGAAACUUAAAGGAAUUGGCGGG